AUACGUAGGUGACAAGCGUUAUCCGGAUUUACUGGGCGUAAAGGGCGUGUAGGCGGUCUUGCAAGUCAGAAGUGAAAUUCCUGAGCUCAACUCGGGCGCUGCUUCUGAAACUGCAGGACUUGAGUGCUGGAGGGGAUAGCGGAAUUCCUAGUGGAGCGGUAAAAUGCGCAGAUAUUAGGAAGAACACCGGUGGCGAAGGCGGCUAUCUGGACAGUAACUGACGCUGAGGCGCGAAAGUGUGGGGAGCAAACAGGAUUAGAUACCCUGGUAGUCCACACUGUAAACGAUGAAUGCUAGGUGUAGGGGUAUCGACCCCUUCUGUGCCGCAGUCAACACAAUAAGCAUUCCGCCUGGGGAGUACGGCCGCAAGGUUGAAACUCAAAUGAAUUGGCGGGG
rnacentral:rRNA from 1 species